rnacentral:rRNA from 1 species
GGCCUUUUGGGUUGGUGACGGUACCUGCAGAAGAAGCGCCGGCUAACUACGUGCCAGCAGCCGCGGUAAUACGUAGGGCGCAAGCGUUAUCCGGAAUUAUUGGGCGUAAAGAGCUCGUAGGCGGUUUGUCGCGUCUGCCGUGAAAGUCCGGGGCUUAACUCCGGAUCUGCGGUGGGUACGGGCAGACUAGAGUGCAGUAGGGGAGACUGGAAUUCCUGGUGUAGCGGUGAAAUGCGCAGAUAUCAGGAGGAACACCGAUGGCGAAGGCAGGUCUCUGGGCUGUAACUGACGCUGAGGAGCGAAAGCAUGGGGAGCGAACAGGAUUAGAUACCCUGGUAGUCCAUGCCGUAAACGUUGGGCACUAGGUGUGGGGGACAUUCCACGUUUUCCGCGCCGUAGCUAACGCAUUAAGUGCCCCGCCUGGGGAGUACGGCCGCAAGGCUAAAACUCAAAGGAAUUGACGGGGGCCCGCACAAGCGGCGGAGCAUGCGGAUUAAUUCGAUGCAACGCGAAGAACCUUACCAAGGCUUGACAUGAACCGGAAUGAUGCAGAGAUGUGUCAGCCACUUGUGGCCGGUUUACAGGUGGUGCAUGGUUGUCGUCAGCUCGUGUCGUGAGAUGUUGGGUUAAGUCCCGCAACGAGCGCAACCCUCGUUCCAUGUUGCCAGCGGGUUAUGCCGGGGACUCAUGGGAGACUGCCGGGGUCAACUCGGAGGAAGGUGGGGACGACGUCAAAUCAUCAUGCCCCUUAUGUCUUGGGCUUCACGCAUGCUACAAUGGCCGGUACAAAGGGUUGCGAUACUGUGAGGUGGA